CCUACGGGGGGCAGCAGUGGGGAAUAUUGGACAAUGGGGGAAACCCUGAUCCAGCGACGCCGCGUGAGUGAGGAAGUAUUUCGGUACGUAAAGCUCGAUCAGCAGGAAAGAAAAUGACGGUACCUGACUAAGAAGCCCCGGCGCACUACGUGCCAGCAGCCGCGGUCAUACGUAGGGGGCAAGCGUUAUCCGGAUUUACUGGGUGUCAAGGGAGCGUAGACGGCCGCGCAAGUCUGGAGUGAAAUGCGGGGGCCCAACCCCGGAACUGCUCUGGAAACUGGGAAGCUGGAGUGCAGGAGAGGUAAGCGCACUUCCUGUUGUAGCGGUGACAUGCGUAGCUAUCAGGAGGAACCCCGGCGGCGACGGCGGCUUACUGGACUGUACCUGACGUUGCGGCUC
rnacentral:rRNA from 1 species